CAAUCCCCACUCCCCCGUUUCCAACCACCCACCUGCCUGACCUGUUUUGACAGUCAGGUCACAGCCCGUGCUCAGUUGAGCGGAGCAGAAGAUUAUACCGUCUGCCAUCAGCACACAGCACUGUGUCUAGAGUAUCGUGCAGGACUAUUGAACUGUCACUUCCUGAGCGAGUCAAAGUUUCCUUGCGUACAGUUCUCACGUCCGUCUACCCAACGUCCAUGAUCUUGGUGGUGAAACAUUGCGUUGUACGUCACAUCUCGCGAGAAUAGUUGACACGCGCAGACGACAGUUUCAGUGAAGACGAACUGAUCAGUCGCUCGGCCUAACUGGAUAUAAGCAACAGUGGACAUCUAACAGGUGAUCUGUCGCCUUUGGGGUCGUUCAGACGAAUUCAGGCAGAGAAACACCUGUACCUACAUGAUGCAGCGAGCCUAAAUCGCGUGGAAUUGAACCUUGUGCUUAAAUGGUAUUAAGAAGACAUUAAAAACGGAACCUGAAGAUGGCGAGGGCUUAGAGGACACGGAUAACUGCUGAAAUUAACGUGCUACAGGUGAUAAUAUAAGGGGCCAAAAAGCUACUCAUAGGCCUUCUUAUUACGACGCGUUUCACGUGACGACAGUGAAACACAUGACACACAUGACGUCACACUUCCCAACCCACCAACAGUGUCAACAUUUGAUAACGGACCACGCCACUGUCAAAGCCAUGUACUGUGAUGGAGCAUUGAAACUGAGCACAUCUGAAUGAAUGUCGAGUAUCUGUGAAUUGCCUUCAUUGCGAGUGGGUUCAAAUACCUGUGGUUACGGCUAACUAAAGUGUUCUAUUUCACAACUCGCGGGUGUAUUGGAGGUAUGGGACUGUCGUGAGCUAAACUGUGACAUGAAGUGGUGUUUACGGUUCACGAUGUUUCAGAGGAAGAAAUAUAAUUACCUGUGGAUUUUACCUGUGUUGAUUAUCUUUACAACACCUGUGAUAGGCCAGAGGAGGGCCUACUGUAAUACGGACGCUUGUUCAUGUGUCAAUGGGAAAAGGCCUACGAUUACGUGCACAGGAACGGAUACAAUAACCACUAUACCAAAUGAUUUAUAUCCCAAAAUCCAGGUUUUAUCGCUGAUUAGAACCAAGGUUACUAGAAUAGAAGAAGAUGAUUUUAGCACUGCGGAGUCGAUUGAGACUAUAUUCUUGCAGAACAACGAGAUAAAUUACAUUCAUCCCAAUGCUUUCCGGAAUUUAUUCCGCUUGAAAACACUGAACCUGAAGGAGAACGCUCUGACCUCUAUACCUGCACCGAUGUUCCAGCAUCUACCAAGUCUAACGGAGUUAAAUUUGAUCAAGAACCAAUUACAGAACAUCUCAAGAUAUGCCUUUGUCACUUUACCGGCCGACAAGGAUGUACGGGUGAUGCUGAGCGGCAACCCGGUGCAAUGUAGAUGUGAUAUGUUGGCGUUCAGGCAGUGGUUGAACGUAAGAAGUACUGGUAAUAUUAAGUUCGAGAUUGAUGAUCUCAAAUGUAAAAAUGCCAAUGACCUACCCCUACUGGACGUCGACGAAGAUGACUUCAACUGUGAUGAGGACGAUCCAUCUGUGUUUGAGGAUGACCAGAGUUGCCGGACUUGCCAGGGCAAGGCGUCUCCUGAGAUGUGCGAUCGGCAAGGACAGCUACAAGAAUGUUCGCUUGAGGGGGAUCAGCAGCCUGUUUGCAGGACGACCUUGACCUAUCAGAGUAGUGGUUUAACGGUGAAGAGGACAUGUGACGGGUACAGAGCAUGCCUGAGACAAGAGGGCACGAACAAGGAAAGCUGUGUACUGGAAAACGUGUUACAAAAAAGAAUGACGUGUAAUUAUUGUUGCUUAGGACCCUUGUGUAAAGAUGAUGCUUAUGGAGGUCGUUUGAAGGGGUAUACCUUCUACCUCAAGUUCUCAACCUCUGGUGCCACCUACACCUCUGAAUUUGGGGACACAAAUUCAAAGACCUACCGUGAUAUGGUACAGCGUUUGACAGAGGCGGUGAAUGAGGCGCUGGAUAAUCUGGGCGUUUUCGAACUGUCUGAAAUCAGUUUCAGUGGCCCAAAUUUGACCAUAUAUUUCCGGCUGGCCUGCAACAUAUUCAUUCGAGUGAGCACCGACGACACGAGGAAUGCGAUCAAGAGUGCCCUCAGUGAGGCGAUCGAGAAGAAACCGGAGAGUCUGAUGAAGCAACUCAACGUCGCCUCUGUUGAUGUCAAUUUUAAAGCUCCAAUGUUCUGCAAGCCCGAGGUACAGACAACCAGUAAGGGUACAUUUGAAUGGCCUGAAGCAUUAGUUGACGAGACGGAGGAGAUCUUAUGCCCGCAUAAGACACUUGGUCGCAUUCUUCUUCGAGCCUUUCGAAAAUGCGUCAAAGUUAAUGACAGGGCGAUUUGGAUGGAUUCCAAUCUAGAAGCAUGCCCGUUCGCAAGCAACGUCACAAGACGGCUGGAAGACCUCACCACAGAAGAAAUAACGAAUGACAACGUCCUGGAGGUCUCCAAAGAAUUGCAGAUGAUAACGUCUGGAGCUGCCAACUUCACACAAACUGAUGUGAACUUCGCAGUGAACAUUGUGGAGGGAAUUGUCAAUCUGGAGAGCUCUCUCAAUUCCAGGGAGGUCAUCAACAACACUCUAGCAUCGGUCAGCUACAUCAUCGUCGUACCACGCGAGGUGCUCCUGGAGGCGGAACAGAAGAAACAAGCUACUACAAGAUUGAUAUCAUCUGUGAACAAGGUGACAACGUCGUCAUCUCUGGGUGACGGGGAUCUUCUGAUAGUCCAACCCAACAUUGCCGUGGCUGCCGUCAGCAUCGACCCAAGAAACUUUUCUGGGGUUUCUUUCACCACGGAUUCGUCAAAAUCUGGCGGUGACACGCUCGCUGGCGAAACGGUUGAGAUCAGAAAGGGAAACAUCCCUCAACAACAAGACCAAACAAUGGCGACAAUUGUGCUUCCCGACGGUCUUUUCGCUUCUCUACCACCUGGGGACAUGACCAAAGCAAACAGGGUUAUAUUUGCUGUAUAUCCGACAGAUAAAUUGUUUUCUGUAUUUGAAAAGGCUCGCCAAGGCCCAAGUGUCAAUCCAACCGGAAGAGCAGGGGGUGAUGGGAGUGUGGCUCCAUCUUUACCAGCCUCUAACGGUGGUUCUAGCAUAGCGACUAAAGAUGGCGGUGAUUUGACGGUGAUUGAUGGGGCGCAAGGUAAAGUGACAACGAUGAUAAAUAGCAAGAUCAUCUCUGCAAGCGUCCCAAACGUCAUCAUCGCCAAUCUCACCGACCCCGUCAUCAUACAUCUGCCACAUCUCAAGAAGAACGCUGUCAACCCCCGGUGUGUGUUCUGGCGAGACAACGGCGCAGGCUGGUCGACAGAUGGGUGUGAGGUGAAGGAAGAUGUCAAGGACAGCUACACAACCUGUGCAUGUAACCACCUCACUAACUUCGCGCUGCUUAUGGAUGUUUAUGAAAGAGGUGCUGAUGUAUCUGAAGCUGACCGCGUGGCCCUCUCCCUCAUCUCCUACAUCGGAUGUGGCAUCUCUCUGCUGUGCCUGCUGCUGACGCUGCUCACCUACUUCAUGUUCAGGAAACUGCGCCGGGAUAACCCUUCUAAGAUCCUGGUUAACCUGUGUAUUGCUCUUGCUGUGACCAAUCUCAUAUUUCUUGUGGGCAUGCAAGACUAUACCUUCAAGAACACGAUAGCAUGCAAGGCAGUGGCAGUGAUGUUGCACUACUUCAUGUUGUCGGCGUUGACGUGGAUGGCGGUAGAAGCGUUCUACAUGUAUCUGGCACUGGUUGUUGUCUUCAAAACAUAUUUCACAAACUUCAUACUAAAGUGUUGCUUCAUUGGCUGGGGCCUUCCCCUUGUAGUAGUGGCGAUCACCCUGGGAAUCAACGAAACUGAGAACUAUGGGGAGCUUGCUUCCGGGAUUUGCUGGAUCAGGAACCCGGCCUUCUAUGCUGCAUUCCUAGCCCCAGUCGCCGUCAUCUUGCUGAUCAACUUCGCCGCCUUUGGUCUGGUUUUGCGUCAGAUUCUUGGUCUUUCUAGCCGGAAGUUGAACAAGUCGGACAAAACCAGCACUAUGACACAGCUGCGAGGGGCGAUGGGAGUGGUCAUCCUUCUUGGUCUCACUUGGGUGUUUGCGGUCUUUGCCAUCGACCGUGCCAGCGUUGUCUUCUACUACCUGUUUGCCAUUACAAAUUCCCUUCAGGGGCUUUUUAUUUUUAUAUUUUACUGCUUAUUCAAGAAGGAUGCGCUUUCAGCAUGGAGACGAAAGUUACCAUGUUGCGAAACUAUGGACGAAAAAUCCGGAGACCGCUCUUCAAGCAAAGAUCAUGACUUGUUUGGUUGGCUCAAAUCCACACGUACUAGUGCAACUAGUCUACCGCCCACAUAUCAGGUUAAUCAGGCUGUCGAUAGUGUUGAAACAUAGCACGUAGGGAAAAUCGUUAUCUACAGACUAGAACACUGUACACAGUACUGAUAGUAAGAAAACGUGUUCUCCUUUAUGAACAUUAUGAAUAUAUUUAUGGAACAGUAUAUGAGCUGUUUUGGAAAAGUUUUGUAAUCUACAGUUACCUAGCUUGACAGUAUUAGUUUUAGUUAUAAAGUAUAGUGUUGCUAGCUUCUGUGCCUUGUUUUUAUGUCCCCUUUGCAUUGACAGGCCUCGUUGAUAUUACCUUUCGGUACCAGUUGUUGGGACGAAAUGUCUUCAUUUCUAUAUGUUUAAGCAAAUAUGGCUGAUGCCAUUUAUUCUCAGAUUUAUUUAUUUGCCUCCGUCGUGGUAUAGGUGUAAUGUUGUUGACUGAGGCUUAAAAUAACACACUGACGACGAAACAAGGCGAUAAGUACGAGUAUGUAAUUCAUAUAAUGAUGGAAAAGUCUUCCCAUGACAUAAUACUGGUUAGUGUGAGUAUUGAUUCACCUUUAAUUUUAACUGAUACAAAUGUAGUCCUCUGUAAGCUACUCUAAUGAUAAUGGGAUAAUACUAUGUGCGUUGUUUGAUUCGCCGCUGAUGGCGACUGCAAGAGGUGAGGUGGGGUGAGGUGAGGUGAAAUGGGUUUAACGCCGCGUUCAAGAUUAUUUCGCUUAUAUUGCGUGCGCCUGUGUGAGGCUGCUUGUACUAGUCCGGAUUGUGGCGUUGUUUUAGUUCUAGCACACUGAGCUACCAUGCCGUAAGUUACCACGGAUAUCCUACUCAGACACAUUAUAUAAAUUCCGAGCCCAUCAAUCCUUGUAAAGCCCCUUAAGGCCAGGCAGGUUAACAACAUGUACCAUGUUUAAACUUCUUUUGGUGAGAUGUACGACCGCUGUGUGAAAAUGACCAGUUCGGCACUCGCGUAAGAAAUUAUAAUUCUAAGGUCUAUUUGGGGUGACAAAUUAGUUCGCUUUUAAAGUUGAUUCGUUAAACAGAUUCCUGUGAAUUUCGUAUAAUAAAAUAUUGUAUAGUUGGUUGGUUGUUUAACGCCGCACUCAGCAAUAUUCCAGCUAUAUGACGGCGGUCUGUAAAUAAUCGAGUCUGGACCAUACAGUCUAGUGAUCGAUAUCAUGAGCAUCGAUCUACGCAACUGGGAUCGAUGAUAUUGAUGUAUGGUCAAGUGAUGAGAGGUUUGUAAUGGUCCGUUGUAUCAGUUUGUACGUUAUAACCGUUUUCGUAGAAGCAUUUUCUAAAGUUUAUAACAGUCAGUUGUAAAACAAAUACAAGAACAAGUUCUUAAUGAUAUACCAACAUCUUUGCACUUGGUACGUGAGGAUUCGGAGUCUUCCAACCUCUGCCACAGUGCGGUGAUCACCAACCAUGACGGGCUACACGACCCCUGUCUCAAACAACACAGUAAAACACUCGAUGUCGACGACGAAUAGUUCACCUAACAGCAACAAUGACGCCAAAAU
rnacentral:misc_RNA from 1 species